CGCAUUUGCGUGCUCUCGGCGCACUUAGAGACUUCAAAUCGAGUUACACUUGUAUCGAUUUCAGGGGGAUCAUCACUCCUCUGCCGCUUUGACUGCUUCCCAUUGACGUCUGUCUGAAUAACUAAACGCUUCUCCUCGAGAAUGAUUCAGCGACGCGAUCCGCAGAGGGCUUGUCGACAUUCUGCGCGCAAUAUGAUUCAAAUCGGUUUAUUACAACAGUCGAAUGGCUGUCGACAUUUCUGCCGCAUCAAACACAAGAAAUUAGACUGCGAUGUUCCGUUCCUGCUGGAAAAAGGGCGUCCGCAAUGAAACGCUGUACAGUGAAAGGGCGAACGGCGCGAGAGGAAUCACGACUCACGCGCUCACGAAAAAGAAGACAAGACGAGCGUGACGAGUGCAGACAGUGGCCCAAAUGGAGACACUAAGAACUUCUCAUUACGCAGUACAUCGAGCCAUCCUCCUGGAGCGCCAGCUUACUAGAAAACGGACAGCCGCCUGAAAAUCGACUGCAAUUUUGGCGAGGACUCCUGUGUUUCAAGUAGCUGUUCUGUCUCUCCAUGUGAACUGACUUCACCUCGGUCUUGCCCAGCUUGGCUAUUAUGUGAGUCUUCACCAGUAUGCCAGCACUUCAUGACCUUGGCUCUAGACUGCUUACUGCUUAUGGAGUCCAACAGUACAGUAACAGUCUACAGUCAUGGCUACUGAAGUCUGGCUCCAGCAUCACAAACACACAACACUAAUACAGAAGGGUUUUAGCCUUUCAUCUGUAUAACUUCGGUUGUGAUUGAAAAGUGAACCCUGUUAAAAUGUGCAUGCACGCAUUCAUCAGAAAUACUCGGCUGUGACGGCAAACAGUUGUGUAUGUCUGAGCCUGUAUUGGGGGAGUCCUGUGCUAUGGAGGCAUGGCUUUUCAUCUAACAAGCCAAUAGAACUGCACUAUUUCCAGUUACCAUGCCAACACCCCCUCAUCCCUACCUCUGCUGUCUCCAUGGUGACCGUGGCUUUAGAUUGUUACUGUAGCGAUGGCACAUGGUAACAGUCUACAGCCAUGGUCGCCAAGGGGCAGGUGUUAUAGCAACAACUGAAAGCAUCAGAAAUGAUUGCGACUAGCUGGCUGAAUUAUGUUUCACGCACGUGACCAGAAACUGUAGCACAGUGAGGAUUUUCUAAGAAGCUGAAUGAUAUGAUUUCAAAAAGUAGGUCAAAGUCUGACUUUAUAUAUUUGUAUUUUUACCUCCUUCUGAAACUCUGUUAAAAGACGUCUCUGUCAACAUUAAAGUAAACAUGUUUUUCUCAGACUUUGCCUGCUGUAAAACAUCAAAGCUACAUUGAGUUCUUCAUUUGAGACCAAAAACUUUAUUCUUUGCACAACAUACAUUAAAUACUUCAAUACAAGCAGAUUCGCUUUCCAAUGUAAUUGCUUCAUGUACUGUACCAGAAUAUACAAUUGUUUCUCUAUAAUGAUUUCCUGAUGAUUCAGUUUGUUCCCUUGAUGGCACAGUGAUUCAUUCUAAUGUGGAGUGCCAACGAUUGCUCCUUUUUUUCCAGACAAUUUCCUGUGGAACAAGGAGAGGCAGUUUCAAUUAGGAUCGGGUGACAGAAUAUUGUUUAAUGUACUGUAUAAUUGAUGAAAGUCAUACAUUUUCUUUUUACCGGUUGCAGUGCCAUCUGGGACAGCUGGGCAGGUGUUUUAGUGAAUUCAGUGAGUAAUUAAUACAUAUCAAACUGGCAGAGAUGUCUUGUCUAAAUGUAUGUUAAUCUGCAACAAUUUUUAGUAGUGUGCAAUAGAACAUGGCCCAAAUGCUAAAAAAUAUCCAAUUUUAGCAGUCACACAUCGCCCUCUUGAGGAGAGAGUUUAUAGUUGCGGAAAACAAUCUGUGGGCCAGUGUUGUGCUUGGUACCAUUAAAUGUAAUAGAAAGAAAUUAUAUUCAGAAAUGUUUCUAUGAAAAUUUAAGUAAAUAAAAUCUCAACAUCCAAAGACAAUGUCCCCUGUAUUGGUUUUAAUAUUUUAAAAUUAUGCCAGUUUUGAUUAAUUAAACAUUUGUAGCCAGGGUUAUCUACAUUUUAAAGCAUUUUUGGGGUCCAAGUUAAAAAAAAAAGAAAGAAAAAAAAGAUAGCAUCUAAUCCCUGUUGAUCAUUAAAAUUUUUUUUUUUCAUUUAGAAGGCAACAAUUGAUUUUAAAAAUAUUUUCUCUGUUCUUCUGCAUUUUUAUUAUUUUCUAGCUUCUGUGUUACUUAGCAGUAAAAUCAAUAGUUUUGCCCAGGGUUAACUGUUUUUUUUUUUUUUUCCUGAGUUAAUAAAAAAAGUUUGAUCUGGAAACUCUCUGAUCUGGAAAUUGUUGCCUCAUGUAUGCUAAACUUGCGACAUUCCAUAUUUGUUGCUGAAUGAUCAAAUCUAAAUGUUGAUCUUCCAAAACAAAGUGAAUACUUUGAAACAAAGUGAUGAGAGGUUGAUAGAGACUCUUUUCCCUACAAGUAAGAGACCAUGUGCUGAUACUUGAACCUCAGCACAUAAACUCUUACUGUUCAGGGCUAAGGGCAUCAUACAGGGACGAACACACACACACACACACACACACACACACACAGAUUCACUGCCACUCUAAGAAUGAUUAAUUACACAUUCAGCCUCUAAAAGAAGAUAAACUGGGCAGUGUCAGACCUUGAAACUGAAAAGCAGAGAAAAUAAUGUAAGAAAUAAUCAGCAACAUGUUUUGCCCUAAUAAAAGUUUAAAUUCAGUUUUUUUUAGAUCAAUAAAUUCUAUCCAUUUAAAAAGACAGUCAAAUUAAUAAGAUACAUUAACUGCAGUGAUUAGAAAUGGAAAGUACAGUCUGUGAUUUGUCAGCUCCUCUAACUGACCUAAACGUGCCCCUGUAACAACUAGACGCACAAGAAGGAACAGCCAAACCACAAGAAUUUGAAAGUUUUUGUUCAGAUCGAAGCAUUUCCUUUUCACCAAAACCUUGUAGGUCUUACCAAUGAUAACACAGAGAGUUCCAGCAGCUCAGAAAGAAAGAAUGAAAGAAAGAAAGAAAACCUGAGUUUGGAAAGUUGAGAAGUCAGGAAACAAACUUUGGCUUAUGAUAAGCCCUGUCCACAUAAACAGAAAAACCAUGAAGUGGCAGGACUGUGUGUUUGGAUCAGGCUGGAAAUAAAUAAUAAGUUACUCAAAUCACAC
ensembl:lncRNA